GUAUCCCUAGCUCAGCGGCCAGAGCAUUCGGCUGUUAACCGAAGGGUCCUAGGUUCAAAUCCUAGGGGAUACGCCA
rnacentral:tRNA from 1 species